GACGUAGGGCGCAAGCGUUGUCCGGAAUUAUUGGGCGUAAAGAGCUCGUAGGCGGUUUGUCGCGUCUGCUGUGAAAACUCGGGGCUUAACUCCGGGCCUGCAGUGGGUACGGGCAGACUAGAGUGCGGUAGGGGAGACUGGAAUUCCUGGUGUAGCGGUGAAAUGCGCAGAUAUCAGGAGGAACACCGGUGGCGAAGGCGGGUCUCUGGGCCGUAACUGACGCUGAGGAGCGAAAGCGUGGGGAGCGAACAGG
rnacentral:rRNA from 1 species